CUGGCCUGGAAGUCAGAAGUCACGGCUCAGGUCGGGGAAAGGAGCUGUAGCUACUCAGGUUUGAGAGCUUGGCCCUGCCCUCCCUGGAAAAGGGUUGAGCCCUUGGUGUGUGUUCUCUAGAGUGAGGCCAGUAUGGCCCAGUGGGAGAGUCCAGUGGGGAACUUGGAUCCCGGCCGCAGAAGGGGCUGAGUGGACGUGAAUGGCAGCGCUGGGUGACAAUACAACUGGUCCUAGUGGGCCACACUCGCCUCCACAUUCUGAUACGUUGCGGGCACCGGCCAGACCCAGCCCUUCGCUGCUGGGGCACGGCGUGCAGCUGAGCUGGCCUUCCA